rnacentral:lncRNA from 1 species
UGGAUUGAAAAGAAUUUCGUUUGCGACCGAGCUCAUUCAACAUAAGGUUACAAACAGUGGCAAGUUGUAGACAGAGAGAUUGUGUAAGUUGCAGAAGGAGAGAUCACAAAAGUUGUAGAUGACGGUCCUCGAUGGUGUAGGCAAUGGCGGAGACAAGACCAAGAUCUUGAGCUACCCCUAUUCUCUAGGUUAAGGAAGAUUGGAGACGACAUGUUUGGAAAGUGUUGGUGGUCCUGGCCUAGUACUGAGUCAGGUCAGCAGUAACCGAGCCUAGACUUGUCGUUCAUUAUUGCGCCAAAAAUGGAAAAGGGGCCCAAAAACCAACCUGACCUAAUAUUGGCACAAGCCGCAACUAACUCACCAAAACCAAUGGAAAAAUGCUGUUCCCACUUCUGCCUUUGCUAUCGGGUUUGCAGGUCAUUGGGUUGAAAAGAAUUUCAUUUGUGACCGAGCCCAUUCAAAAUAAGGUUACAAACAGUGGCAAGUUGUAGACAGAGAGAUUGUGUGAGUUGCAGACAGAGAGAUCACAAAAGUUGUAGAUGACGGUCCUCGAUGGUGUAGGCAAUGGCGGAGACAAGACCAAGAUCUUGAGCUACCUCUAUUCUCUAGGUUAGGGAAGAUUGGAGACAACAUGUUUGGAAAGUGUUGGUGGUCCUGGCCUAGUACUGAGUCAGGUCAGCAGUAACCGAGCCUAGACUUGUCGUUCAUUAUUGCCCCAAAAAUGGAAAAGGGGCCCAAAAACCAAUCUAACCUAAUAUUGGCACAAGCCGCAACUAACUCACCAAAACCAAUGGAAAAAUGUUGUUCCCACUUUUGCCUUUGCUACGAAACACCAGUAAAUUACACAUUUACCCCCACCGGCAAUUAACUGCUGCCGGAUUUACACUAAAAAAACAUGAAAUUUCGGCAGUUAACUGCCGCGGAAUAAGGAAUUUCUAGCCGCCGGGUGAGUUUUUUAGCAAACUCAAAAGUGGGAACAGAAACUAUCAAACUAAUGACCCCACUUCCUGCCCAUCUCAAAAGGGCCAUUGGACCUAAUUGGGCCCUAAAUAUCUCGUUUUGGUUUGGGUCAGAUUAGGAGGCUUGGAUUUGAACUUGCCCGUCGUCCAGCCUUACUUCUGUGUGACCAAAACAUAGUUUUAACUUUUAAUGACGUC